AUUUAAUAAUUAAUAGAUAAUAUUUUUAAAGGGACUACAUGAAGGCAACCGCAAAUAAGGAGCUUAACAUAAAUCAACUUUUAAAAAUUAAAAUUCCUAACAAAAAGUUCAUUUUGGACAACAGUCUCAAAAAAUAAGCAUCUCACCUAUUCAAAUAUAUCCAAAAUAUAUUUUCUUAUGUACACUUUAUUAAGUAAACCUAACCUAGA